rfam:Gossypium raimondii Chr08_contig_1321, whole genome shotgun sequence.
UGUUAAAAUUUUUAAUUUUUUUAUUGUUAAAAAUUAGCAUGGCUGAUAAAAUAAUUAAAUAGUGAGACGUGGUGUGUCAUGUGCACUACAUUAUGACGUACAAUGAUCAAUUUUUAACAGUAAAAAUAGAUAAAAUUUUGAACA